rnacentral:misc_RNA from 1 species
UUUACUUAAAUAUAUUAUAUAGGAAGAUUCAUCAUCUAUAGUGUAAAAAUGGCAACUGCGAGUACUGCUCCUACCACUAACACGUACACUCGGUUGGAGGUAGCCAAGCACAAGGACACUAAGGAAACGUGGAUUAUAAUUCAUAAUAAAGUUUACGACGUCACAAAAUUUCUUAAUGAGCACCCUGGAGGAGAAGAAGUCAUUCAGGAACAAUCUGGGAGAGAUGCAACCGAAGCUUUUGAAGAUGUUGGUCAUUCUAGUGAUGCCAGGCAAAUGAUGGAACCAUAUCAAAUAGGAGAACUUGUAAAAGAAGAUAGAACAAAAUCUGAUGACAAGAAAAGCGAGGACUGGUCAAAUAAAUCAAAUGGAAAAGAUAAUUCCAGAAAAUUGUCCCAUAGCUACUUCCGAGUGCCAGAAAAAGUUAGACUGUUUUAGCUUGCGUAGCAUAAAUAUUUGCUACGUAUCAUACAUCCUUAAACACAUUUGAAUGCAUGUGAUUCUUGGAGAUCAUGGCUGAUUCCUGUCGCACUUGGUGUUCUUGCUACUCUCGUCUACCGUUACUUCAUCAGCUCGCACUGAAUUAA